AUAACUUAUUCUAAUUAGCAUCUUACGCUUGUGGUUGUACAUGUUGUGAACAUAGCAUGGUUGGGUAUUCAAAUUGGUGCAACCACUUUGGAAAGCAGUAAGGAGAUUCCUUAGAAAACUUACAAUGGAAGCACCAUUUGAUCCAGUCAUCCCACUCCUCGGUCUAUACCCAAAGGACUUAAAAUCAGCAUACUACAGUGAUGCAGCCACAUGAAUGUUUAUAGCAGCUCAAUUCACAAUAGCCAAGCUAUGGAACCAACCUAGGUGCCCUUCAAUAGAUGAAUGGAUAAAGAAAAUGUGGUACAUAUACACAAUGGGAUAUUACUCAGCCAUAAAGAAAAAUGAAAUUAUGGCAUUUGCCAGCAAAUGGCUGGAACUAGAGAAUAUUAUGCUGAGUGAAAUUAGCCAGUCUCCCAAAGCCAAAGGCUGAAUAUUCUCUCUGAUAUGUGGAUGCUAAUUCACAACAAGGGAGGGUGGGG
rnacentral:lncRNA from 1 species